GAAGAAUGAAGAAGACUAGGUGGUCUUGUUAGAAGGUGGCAGUUAAAUAUCAGAACAUAUCCUCAUUCAAACCCAGCUCAGGUCUUCUUUAUUCCAACAUAGGCUGGUUGCCUUGAAUGACCCCGUAGACUAUAGGAAGAGCAUACAUGCCAAGGCCUCAUGGAUUUGAGAAUCAGUCGCAUAAAUGAUUAUACCUCAUCCCUUCUUGGUGGUACUCAAGAGUUUUAGCACAAUUCCCUCCCUCUCUUUUAUAACCUUUGCACUUCACUAGCUGAACAUCAUGAGCAGUUUUCAAUUGUAACUGGUAUGCUAAAGAUUAAGUCUUGCUAAUGCUUACAAAGUCCUUUCACUGGGAGAUAAGCCAAACAUUUCACUCAAGUCAUUCAAAGAUUCCAUCUAAGAAUAAUUAUUUUACCAUUUUAAAAGAACAGCCAACAUUUAUAUUGCCUGUUAAAAUUCUAUUAUCUAUUUCAAAGAUUACUUAAACUAAAGGAAAACAGUCUUAAUUUGAAAGAACACAUUCUACUAUUACUCUUAAUUGGUAAUUGUCUUUGUUAGGGUUUUAUUCCUGUGAACAGACACCAUGACCAAAGCAACUCUUAUAAAGGAAAACAUUUAAUUGGGGGCUGGCUUACAGUUUCAGAGGUUCAGUCCACCAUCAUCCUGAUAGGAAGCGUGGCAGCAUCCAGGCUGAUAUGGUGCUGGAGGUUGAGAGUUCUAGAUUUUAAUUCAAAGGUAGCAGCAGGAGACUUGGAUCACAUUGGCCAGAUUUAAGCAUAUAUAUGAGACAUCAAAGCCCCCCUCCUCUACACUGACUAACUUCUCCUAAUAAGGCCACACCUCCUCCAAUAAGGCCACACCCCCUACGAGUGCCGCUUCCCAUGGGGCAAGCAUAUACAAAGCACCACAGUAAUGUAGUCACAAAACAAUAUUUUAAAUUUCAGCAAAUAAUAUAAUUUGCAUUUAAGAGAUGACAGUUGCAAAGUGGUGUGAGGCAAAGGCAGAUGGAUUUCUGAGUGCCAAGGCCAGCCUGUUCUACAACGUGAGUUCCAAGACAUCCAGGGCUACAAAGAGAAACCCUGUACUGCCAAAAAGCCAAAGCCAAAAAAAAAAAAAAAGAGUGAGGGAGGACAAUUAUAGUCAUCAUUGGUUUUUCUUUCAAGACCAGGCACAUAGCAUAACGAGGGUCUUUUACCACACAGGACAAUCUGCCAUUAUUUCCCUUAUUUAAAAAGUCCACCUGUGCUUCUCAAACUGUUGGCCCUGUGGCCACAGCAGUGCAGAAAUGAGGAGAGACUAGAAUAGAAUGGUUGCAAAGUUAUCCUCUGAGGUAAGUGCUUAUAUUAAGAACUUUAAUAAGCUAUACAUAUAAAAAAAAUUCUGAGACAAGGUUUUAUAUUUCCCAGGCUGGCCUUGAAUUCACUUUGUAGCCCAGACUCAAACUCACACAGUGAUGAUCUCUCAGCUGUUUCUGAUCUAGGGUUACAAACAUAGGCCACCACUCCCAUAACCAUGCUUGUGUCUUUAAAUUCUCUAUUAGCUACAUUCCAAAAAGACAAUAUGAAAUUAAUGAUAACAUAUUUUAAUCCAGUAUACAUGUAUUAUUACAUCAAAACUUGAAUUAAUGUCAUAAUUUGAAUCUAUUUUGUACUGUUUCUAAAUUAGCAGUCUAGGCACUUUACAUCGGGUGGUCACGAGCCGCAUUAAGCCAGGGGUUCCUAUGGUAGGCACACUGGUCUAGCCUAGAGCACUUUUCUUCUGAGCAAAGUGGGACUUGAGUUUCUACGGUCAGAUCUGGGCUGAUUUAGUUUUCUGCAUUGGUAAGUUGGUGAGCAGCUAAGAUACAAAUGUGUAGAAAUAAAAAUCCUGGCUACUCCUAGACAUGACAUGGGUUGUCUUAGAGAAGUGAUCUGCAUUAUUCCUUGAAAGUAACACUUCCUUAGGCAUUACCAAAUUGUGUGUGUACUGGUCAGAGUCCAGCUUAUCCACAUUUGGCUCUGAAAACCUGACUGCACCCCAGUUUCCUGAGUACUGCCAGAGAGCAAACAGAAUUUCCACUUAGCAGAAAUUACUGUGGGCCCACCGUGCAUCACCACUGAGCAGCCUAUAUACAGAAUCCAGUCUCUAAAAACUGGACUAAGCUGGACAUCAUCCUCACAUUGCAAGCAAACUUUCUAGAAGCCUCCUGGAAAGUACAGUUGUAUGAUGGGUAUGUUAUGAUGGCGGUGAUGGAAAUAAACUCACGCCUGGCAUUUGUGAAGAUUCAUAGAAGGAACUGGUCCACACUGCCACUGACAGAUUUUUUUAAAAAAAAAAGACUUUUGGAAAUUUUUACAUGCUGAUUUUAGAAUAAUAUCCUACAGUCAUUCUACUGGCAGAUUUAUAGACAAGGAGAAGCUUGCCUUUUAAAGGGACCUCAAUUGUAUACCAUUUGAUAUUUUGUAAUGUAGAGAGUUCAGCA
rnacentral:lncRNA from 1 species